rnacentral:rRNA from 1 species
UACGUAGGGUGCAAGCGUUUGUCCGGAAUUAUUGGGCGUAAAGAGCUCGUAGGCGGUUUGUCGCGUCGAAUGUGAAAACCCGGGGCUCAACCCCGGGCCUGCAUUCGAUACGGGCAGACUAGAGUUCGGUAGGGGAGUCUGGAAUUCCUGGUGUAGCGGUGAAAUGCGCAGAUAUCAGGAGGAACACCGGUGGCGAAGGCGGGACUCUGGGCCGAUACUGACGCUGAGGAGCGAAAGCGUGGGGAGCAAACAGG